rnacentral:snRNA from 1 species
GUGCUCACUUCAGCAGCAAAUAUACUAAAAUUGGAAUGAUACAGAGAAGAUUAGCAUGGCCCUGCAUAAGGAUGACACCCACACUUUUUCAAUCCUAUCAUCCUUUU